rnacentral:misc_RNA from 1 species
AGCGUGCAUAGUAAAACAAUUUGAUAAUAGAAGGACUUUGGCGCAUCCUCGGUUGCCCCUAAGUGCUGCUGCACUCUCGUGUGAAAACAAAAACAUAAGCACAAAUCUUUUACGGCAUCUCAACUGCGUAGUAGCCAAAGCAAAAACAAUAUAUAGAAAUAAUUCCGCUCGGAUUAAAUAUUUACAAUUGGUUCGACACUAAUUAGACGAGGGAACUUCGCAAUACCCAAAAGGCAGCGGAAAGUCUACCAAGAAGCAACUGAACUGAACUGAACUGAACUGCAACAACCUGAGAGUCUGAGCAACGCUUGGAACAGCCGCCGCUUGUAAAUAAUUGAAGCCGCUGUUGUCCAACAUUUAUUUGCCUUUCAAUUAAGUUGAGGCUGUGCCGCGUGUGGCAAAAGUUUAAUUUGAAAUGUUGCCAUGCGAAAAUGCAACCUCUUCAAAGUUUCCACCGAGCAUAGCAUUUUUAAUGAUGCACUAAACGUUAAUGGGUUGAAUAGAGCAGCCUCUUUGAACUUGG